UACGUAGGGCGCAAGCGUUGUCCGGAAUUAUUGGGCGUAAAGAGCUCGUAGGCGGCCUGUUACGUCUGCUGUGAAAUCCCGGGGCUUAACCCCGGGCGUGCAGUGGAUACGGGCAGGCUGGAGGCAGGCAGGGGAGAACGGAAUUCCCGGUGUAGCGGUGAAAUGCGCAGAUAUCGGGGAGCACGCGGUGCGAAGGCGGUUCUCUGGGCCUGUACUGACGCUGAGGAGCGAAAGCGUGGGGAGCGAACAGG
rnacentral:rRNA from 1 species